rnacentral:rRNA from 1 species
CCUGCCCAAUGAUAAUUAUAAAUUAUUUAAUGGCCGCGGUAUUUAUGACCGUGCAAAGGUAGCAUAAUCAUUAGUCUUUUAAUUGGAGGCUUGUAUGAAUGGUUGGACAAAAGAAAGACUGUCUAUCUUUAAUAAAAAUUGAAUUUAACUUUUAAGUGAGAAGGCUUAAAUAAUUCAGAGGGACGAUAAGACCCUAUAAAACUUUAUAAGAGAAAAAAUUAACUAAGUUUUUAUAUUAAAGGUUAAGUUAUGUUUUUUAUUGUGUUGGGGCAACUAAUGUAUAAUUAUUAUUAACUGCUUAUAUUAUAUACAGAUAUAUUUGAAUUAGGAUUUAAAUGAUCCUUUAUUUUAAAGAUUUAAAGAUUAAGUUACUUUAGGGAUAACAGCGUUAUUUUUUUUGAGAGUUCAUAUUGAAAAAAAAGUUUGCGACCUCGAUGUUGAAUUAAAAUUUCUAUAUAGUGCAGCUAUUAUAUAAGAAGGUCUGUUCGACCUUUAAUUUUUUACGUGAUCUGAGUU